UACGGAGGGUGCAAGCGUUGUCCGGAAUCACUGGGCGUAAAGGGCGCGUAGGCGGCUCAUGAAGGCUGUGGUGAAAGUCCGGGGCUCAACCUCGGAUCGGCCGUGGCGACUCGUGGGCUGGAGCACUGUAGAGGCGGGUGGAAUUCCGGGUGUAGUGGUGGAAUGCGUAGAGAUCCGGAAGAACACCAGUGGCGAAGGCGGCCCGCUGGGCAGUGGCUGACGCUGAGGCGCGACAGCGUGGGGAGCAAACGGG
rnacentral:rRNA from 1 species